rnacentral:miRNA from 1 species
UUCAGCGAUUCGUUAUACUGGGCCAACUGAGAAACAUAUUACCAUAGAAAUUAACGAUGUUCGGUUACGUAGAAGAUGGCGAACCCAUUGCAGCGAGCAAUUUUGUAAUUUAGAAGGCCCAGUUAAUGCUCUACAUCUACCCUGUAGAUCCGAAUUUGUUUGAUAACAGGCGACAAAUUCGGUUCUAGAGAGGUUUGUGUGGUGCAUACAAUGCUACAGUGGUCUGGAUCGAGUUACCUUUGUACAACUACCUGCGAUUUAUUAUCUUACUGCAUGACUGCUAAACACUGUAAAUCCAACUAUAUAAGGCAAUCGACAAUGUACAUCAGUUUCUGCAAUUUUACAUCCGGUGAGUUUUAUCGGAUACUGCAAAUGAGAAGCUUCAGGCAACGGUUGAUGCAAAAUAAGUGCACAUCGGAAUAUUAUACUGAUGACGUUGCUCGAUUUUCAGGAUACUCUGUGUUCCUUUUUCGUGAGAUGAGAAUCUUAGAAUUCGUUGUUUGUCUACUGAUUUUUAAUAACGCUUGCCAAAAGCAAAUUCUUCUUGUUCGCUCUAAUCUGAGCAGCGCGUUAAGAAUGACUACAAUUAGUUAACUCGGCGUUGAAUGUAUAAUUUAUAAAUCAUGUGCA